UACGUAGGGUGCAAGCGUUGUCCGGAAUUAUUGGGCGUAAAGAGCUCGUAGGCGGUCUGUCGCGUCGGCUGUGAAAACUCGGGGCUCAACCCCGAGCCUGCAGUCGAUACGGGCAGACUAGAGUGCUGUAGGGGAGACUGGAAUUCCUGGUGGAGCGGUGAAAUGCGUAGAGAUCGGAAAGAACACCAACGGCGAAAGCACUCUGCUGGGCCGACACUGACACUGAGAGACGAAAGCUAGGGGAGCGAAUGGG
rnacentral:rRNA from 1 species